AUAACAAUAAUACAAUAAGAAUAAGAUCUAUCAGUUAGUUGUUAAGGUAAUGGCUUAACAAGACUAUGACGGAUAACGGUAUUACUUUGUAAUAUUCCGGAGAAGGAGCCUGAGAGAUUGCUACUAAGUCUAAGGAUUGCAGCAGGGGCGAAACUUGACCUAUGAUAUGAUAUUGAGGCAGUUAUGAGUAGUAUUUUUAAUUAUUGUAGUAUUGUAAGUAUAUACUACAAGAUAAAUCGGAGGGCAAAUCGAGUGCCAGCAGCCGCG
rnacentral:rRNA from 1 species